rfam:Stegodyphus mimosarum contig4552, whole genome shotgun sequence.
GCCUUCGGGGUGUAAUGGUCAGCACACUGAGCCAGUAUUCAGAGGUCCGUGGUUCGAUUCCCGGCGAAGGCG